ACGCUCGACACCUACUGGAGGCAGCAGUGGGGAAUAUUGCACAAUGGGGGAAACCCUGAUGCAGCGACGCCGCGUGAAGGAAGAAGUAUUUCGGUAUGUAAACUUCUAUCAGCAGGGAAGAAACUGACGGUACCUGACUAAGAAGCACCGGCUAAAUACGUGCCACAGCCGCGGUAAUCUGAGCGGGCUGGCAAGGC
rnacentral:rRNA from 1 species